rnacentral:rRNA from 1 species
UACGUAGGUGGCAAGCGUUGUCCGGAUUUACUGGGCGUAAAGGGCGUGCAGGCGGUUUGUUAAGUGCAGGGUGAAAGCUCCCGGCUCAACUGGGAGAGGUCCUUGCAUACUGGCGAACUCGAGGGAGGCAGAGGAAAGUGGAAUUCCCGGUGUAGUGGUGAUAUGCGUAGAUAUCGGGAGGAACACCUGUGGCGAAGGCGGCUUUCUGGCCCACUCUUGACGCUGAGGCGCGAAAGCUAGGGGAGCGAACGGG